ensembl:snRNA U2 U2 spliceosomal RNA
AUCGCUUCUCGGUCUUUUGGCUAAGAUCAAGUGUAGUAUAUUUUGCUAUUUAACCUUCAAACUCAUGCAUGCUGUAAACAUUCAUUGGGUUCCUAAUAUGUGCCAGUUCCUCCUUUUUAGUAGAUGAGAAAACUAGUACUGAGAGAGU